UGGGGAAUAUUGCACAAUGGGCGCAAGCCCUGAUGCAGCCAUGCCGCGUGUGUGAAGAAGGCCUUCGGGUUGUAAAGCACUUUCAGCGAGGAGGAAGGUGGGUGAACUUAAUACGUUCAUCAAUUGACGUUACUCGCAGAAGAAACACCGGCUAACUCCGUGCCAGCAGCCGCGGUAAUACGGAGGGUGCAAGCGUUAAUCGGAAUUACUGGGCGUAAAGCGCACGCAGGCGGUUUGUUAAGUCAGAUGUGAAAUCCCCCGGGCUCAACCUGGGAACUGCAUUUGAAACUGGCAAGCUAGAGUCUCGUAGAGGGGGGUAGAAUUCCAGGUGUAGCGGUGAAAUGCGUAGAGAUCUGGAGGAAUACCGGUGGC
rnacentral:rRNA from 1 species